CCUACGGGAGGCAGCAGUAGGGAAUAUUGCUCAAUGGGGGAAACCCUGAAGCAGCAACGCCGCGUGGAGGAUGAAGGUUUUCGGAUUGUAAACCCCUUUUGUUAGAGAAGAUAAUGACGGUAUCUAACGAAUAAGCACCGGCUAACUCCGUGCCAGCAGCCGCGGUAAUACGGAGGGGGCAAGCGUUACUCGGAAUUACUGGGCGUAAAGAGCGCGUAGGCGGGAUAGCAAGUCAGAUGUGAAAUCCUAUGGCUUAACCAUAGAGCUUCAUUUGAAACUGUUAUUCUAGAGUGUGGGAGAGGUAGGUGGAAUUCUUGGUGUAGGGGUGAAAUCCGUAGAGAUCAAGAGGAAUACUCAUUGCGAAGGCGACCUGCUAGAACAUAACUGACGCUGAUGCGCGAAAGCGUGGGGAGCAAACAGGAUUAGAUACCCGGGUAGUC
rnacentral:rRNA from 1 species